rnacentral:lncRNA from 10 species
GUAAGCAAUUCUCAUUUCAGAGUCACCUGACAUUCCCGGGGGGGCCCUCCCUUUCCUGUUCAAGUAUGCCUAACUAGCCAGUCUAGGAGUUUAUGGCCUCUCUUUAUAUGGCAUGAAGAACAAAAGAAGAGAAAACUGCUUUCCUAUGAGCCCCCUCUUCUGAAGAGACAUUUCCUGGCAGCGUGCUGUGGUCUUGUCUGGAGGCAAUCAAUAUGGGGCCUGUUGGAAUGAUAUGUGCCAGCUGGGAUUUCUGCCUCAUCACACUGCCAGAGAGAAGAGUGUGAAGCCCGCUUGGAGAAGAGGAGGAGGCUGAAAAGAAGGCAAAGAGUGAAGAUAGAGAAACAAGAUGGAAGUGGGGGAGAAAAACAGGGAUGAGAGAAUGCCAUGGUGGUGCUGAGAAGGAAAGGAGAGACUUUUCUGCUUGUAAAGGGCAGAAGAUGGCAGAAUCCAGUGACGCAGGGGCAUCUGGCUCCAGAAAUAAUAGGUCACUUGGCACCCACUUCUUCAAAACAGAUCAAGGCCAUCAAGCUACAGAUGGUCUUACAAAUGGAACCCCAAAUGAGCUCAACUAACAACUUCUACCAAGGACCCCUGGACUGACCUGCUGGCCCUUUCACUGGCCUAAAGAGUUCCCCUCUGGAGGACACUACAAUUGUAGGGCCCCUUCUUCGCCCCUAUCCAGCAGGAAGUAGCUACAGUAGUCAUCGCCCAAUUCCCAACAGCAGUUGGGGUGUCCUGUUUAGAGGGGGGAUUGAGAGGUGAAGCCAGCUGGGCUUCUGGGUCGGGUGGGGACUUGGAAAACUUUUCUGUCUAGCUAAAGGAUUGUAAAUGCACCCAUCAGCACUCUGUAAAAAAUGCACCAAUCAGCACUCUGUGUCUAUCUAAAGGUUUGUAAACGCACCAAUUAGCACUCUGUAAAAAUGCACCAAUCAGUGCUCUGUGUCUAGCUAAAGGUUUGUAAAUGCACCAAUCAGCACUCUGUAAAAAUGGGCCAAUCAGCACUCUGUAAAAUGGACCAAUCAGCAGGAUGUGGGCAGGGCCAAAUAAGGGAGUAAAAGCUGGCCUCUCAAGCCAGCAGCAGCAACCUGCUCAGGUCCCCUUCCACACUGUGGAAGCAUUGUUCUUUCACUCUUCACAAUAAAUCUUGCUGCUGCUCACUCUUUGGGUCUGCACUACCUUUAUGAGCUGUAACACUCACUGUGAAGGUCUGCAGCUUCACUCCUAAAGUCAGCAAGACCACAAACCCACCGGGAGGAACAAACAACUCUGGACCACCACCUUUAAGAGCUAUAACACUCACUGUGAAGGUCUGCAGCUUCACUCCUGAAGUCAAGUGAGACCACGAACCCACUGAAAGGAGGAAACUCCAGACACAUCUGAACAUCUGAAGGAACAAACUCCAGACACACCAUCUUUAAGAACUGUAACACUCACUGCGAGGGUCCACAGCUUCACUCUUGAAGUUAGCGAGACCAAGAACCCACUGGAAGGGACCAAUUCUGUACACAAUUACGUUGGACAAUUCCAACAUAGCAAGAAAAGUCAAGAGUACAGAAUCAAGUUAUACUGGAGGAAAGCAUUGCUUUUCUAGGACUUCAAGAUAAACAUUUCAGCAUCAGGUUAGAAUAGCAGAGUUAGAAGAGGAGAAAAAAGUCACAGGAACUGGCAUAAAGGUUGAAGGAGAGUUAUUAUCCAAGCCAAACAAAAAUAUACACCUUUUUUUUCUUUUUGAGAUGGAGUCUGGCUCUGUCACUUAGGCUGGAGUGCAGUGGCCUGAUCUUAGCUCACUGCAACCUCUGCCUCCCCGGUUCAUGGAAUUCUCCUGCCUCCACCUCCCGAGUAGCUGGGAUUACAGGCAUGCACCACCAUGCCCGGCUAAUUGUUUGUAUUUAGUAGAUACGGAAUUUCACCAUGUUGGCCAGGCUGUUCUUGAACUCCUGACCUCAGGUGAUCCACCCGCCUUGGCCUCCCAAAGUGCUGGGAUUACAGGUGUGAGCCACCAUGCCUGGCCAAAAUAUACGACUUUUUAAGGGGAGGAAGGAGAGCUGAAGGCAAUUAUGCAUAACUGCAAAAUACAUGCAGCAAGAUACAGCAAGAGGUGAGCCUCUGAAAUAUGAAUUUGAGAAAUUUCAAGGGGAAAACUACCUUGAGAAAUGAAAUUACCAUUCCAUGAAACUAUCAUUUCUUAGUUAAACCUGAACUGGAAAAAUUAAAUAGAUUUCAGAAAAAAAUGUGUCAAAAAUAGAAACUGUCUGCAGUUUAGAGGGUAGCUGUUAAAGAAACAGAUUUUAUAAUUUAUAAUCAAGACCAGCUGGGCACGGUGGCUCACAUCUGUAAUCCCAGCACUUUGGGAGGUUGAAGCAGGCAGAUUAGCUGAGGUCAGGAGUUUGAGACCAGCUUGGUCAAUGUGGUGAAGCCUUAUAUCUACUAAAAAUACAAAAUUAGCUGUGCAUGUUGGCAUGCACCUGUAGUCCCAGCUACUCGGGAGGCUCAGGCAGGAGAAUUGCUUGAACCUAGGAGGCAGACGUUGCAGCGAGCCAAGAUCACACUAUUGCACUCCAGCCUGGUGACAGUGUGAGACUCUGUCUCAAAAAAAAAAAAAGUUAUUUUUAAAAUGAAAAACACAUCUUACUUUUUGGUACAAUUUGUGUAUAGAAUUACAUACAUUAAUUAGAAUUUCAACUCUUAGUAUCUUUAACUUUAGUAGAAAUCAAGGAAGCAAGAAAUGUUUAAAUGUCUCUCACAUGUCAUUAUUUAAUAGAUAAGAAUCAUUUUAUAGUUUUUAAGCAC